rnacentral:rRNA from 1 species
AUUGAACGCUGGCGGCACGCCUAACACAUGCAAGUCGAGCGGCAGCGAGAGUAGUAGCAGUACUACUUGUCGGCGAGCGGCGGACGGGUGAGGAACACGUAGGAACUUGCCCAGAAGAGGGGGAUAACCAAGGGAAACUUUGGCUAAUACCGCAUAAACUCGAGAGAGAAAAGGUGCCCGCAAGGGUGCCGCUUGUGGAGAGGCCUGCGUCCGAUUAGCUAGUUGGUGAGGUAAAGGCUCACCAAGGCGAUGAUCGGUAGCUGGUCUGAGAGGAUGAUCAGCCAGACUGGGACUGAGACACGGCCCAGACUCCUACGGGAGGCAGCAGUAGGGAAUUUUCCACAAUGGGGGCAACCCUGAUGGAGCAACGCCGCGUGCAGGAUGAAUGCCUUCGGGUUGUAAACUGCUUUUAUCUGUGACGAUUAUGACGGUAGCAGAUGAAUAAGGACCUGCUAACUACGUGCCAGCCGCCGCAGUAA